CGUAUCCACAGCCAAGAUACGUUUUUCAGACAAAAUACGUUAAAUGAAACGUUCCCUGAAAGGGAGAUAUGCCUUAAUGACAAUAAUGUGCUAUACGUUGACAUUUAACCUAUCUGGGAUACUAAUCCUAGAGGUUAAUAAAUGGCAAAACAAUAGGCUGACAACGAACGUAUUUGCGAUAUGUUCAAUAAAACGUAUUCACGGCCAAGAUACAUUUUUCAGACAAAAUACGUUAAAUGAAACGUUCCCUGAAAGGAAGAUAUGCCUUAAUGACAAUAAUGUGCUAUACGUUGACAUUUAACCUAUCUGGGAUACGUUUCAACCAAACAUAAUCCUAGAGGUUAAUGAAUGGCAAAAAAUAGGCUGAGGACGAACGUAUUUGCAAUACGUUCAAUAAAACGUAAUCGCGGACAAAAUACGUUUUAUGACAAACGUAAUUGAGAAUGCCGAAUAGUUCUCUGGGAACGUAAUUUUGACGAGACAGGGUUGCCCGUGGAGAACGGUUGCAAAGCAUUCGGCGAUGUCUAGACUUUAAUAAACACUGUAGACCACCGGUCACACGAUGACAGGCGAAUCUGAAAUCAGCGAGAUGGAAGCUUAACGAAAGGAAACCUGGAGAUCCGAGUUAUCGACACGCCACAGAAAGAAUCCUUUUUUCUUUCUUAAACAACAGAAUAUCGUUGGAAUAAUUGUAAACAGUGCGUUUAUGAAUUGUAAAUGACACUUUAUUGUCUACAGGCGGACGGGUGUACUCUCAGGAGGAGUUUAGUUUUGUUUUUCACAGUGAGAGAGGGGUGCACCGGUCCUGGAGGUACUGCAAUACCAGGUCGAUGCGUGGAGUGGACGGGGCAAGCCCCUUUUCCAUCUCCCAGUUCCAAAAAUCAAUUUAAUAUAUGGUCCCCGGGUAGGGGACGUAUCAGAUAUUAAACUGAUAAGAACAGAUACUACACUUGAUCUUAGCCAAAAGGCCGAGAAGCGAUGCCUACACACGCUCAGACCAAGAGGCGACGUUCCCAGACACGUCGCUCCACGUGGCGGUUUAACAGACAACGAAAAAACAAACAAAAGAAUGACCAAGCACCCUGUGUGCGUGUUUGUGUGUAUGUGAAAGCUGAAGAAAUAAACCGAGGUCGCUACAUCUCUUUGCUGCUGCCUGCUGGCAGUCUCACUAGGCCGUCUGCAUGUUUCACAAAUAGAGUUUGGAGCAGUGGAGGCUUCUAUAAGACUACAGGUGAAGCAGUGCUUCACCAAAAAAAUGUUAAAAAAUAAAUAAACCAACAAUACUAUCGAAUACUGCCAAAAUGGUGGUGCCCACGAUUUCCCCGCCCCAACAACGUCAACACCCGGAACUCUAUUGCAGCCAUUGCAGCCAAUGAGCUCGAGUUGAAAAAGAAAAUAGCUUACAGCACGUGGUUUCACUCAGGUAAAUUGUAUCCCCUUCACCGUUUGCUAGUUGACAAUUAGACCUUUUUGUUAAGAUGGAACAUGGAGGAGCCUACACAUCAGUGCACCGUGUGCGACAAGACAUUCAGUGAAAAGUCCAACCUGGCGAGUCAUCUGAAGAUCCAUGCCAUCGCCAGGGAGACCUUUACCUGUGAUGUCUGCGGGAAGAGCUUGGCCACUAAACCAUCGCUGGUCAGCCAUCAACAGCUACACCAGUACCCCAACAUCAUUUUGUACCGGCAAGGAGAGGCCAGGCUGUACUGUACAGAGGCAGCAAGGUCUGUGGCAGAGGCCCGCAGCAGCACUGUUGUUGACCCUAAAUGGCUGGAUCUCAAGACAGCAGAGGCGGCUGCCAAGAGGUCGGGGGCUGAGCUGUGGAAAGGUCAGCUGGUCCUCACGUUCGGGUAGUACGCCGGUCAGACCUUCAGGUGGCUUGUGGAGAAUGAUGUCGGCUGGCUGGUGUGGCUGCUGCUCCAGUACUGCCAGCAGGGAGAGCAGAACGAGCUGCUGAAGUGGCAGAAGGAGCGACUGCUCCUUCGGCCACAAGGUGACUCCUCACCUGAAAGUGCUGUCGGACGCACCGUUCCCGGAGGCUCCUGCGCUGCCAACAUCCCUCCCUCCGCCAGACCGGCCUCAGGUCCAGUACCGGCUCAUCCAUCACGAGGCUGGAAAGAGACGUGGUGAGAAGCGGAGGUAAGUUGUCAUAAGCACUUUGUUUCACCUGUUGGCUGUGGAAAGCAAAUAGCACACACGUCAUAUCAAUACUGAUCACAUGUGUAUUUUAUGUUUCCAGAUUAUUUGUUGCUGAGCCACAGCCUGUGACUCCCGCGAACCGACCCGUUCAGCCCACUGGGUUGUCGUCCUCCACCCGGCCGAAGCCUGCUGCGCUCACCCCCAUUCUGCCGAGGCCUUCUGCGCCCACCCACCUCCAGCCGAGGCCACCCGCUGCGUUGACCUACGGCCCACCCCCUGUGUCGGCAGCACCCAUACUGCAGGUCUUCCCCGCACAGCCACAGGCCCCCUCCGUCCUGUUUCGUGGGACAUCCUGCAGCCAGAGCUUUGUCCCUCCUGCACCAACAGUGAAGGCAUUCAUGCCUAACAAGUCCUCAAGGCCAUGUGGGGCUUGCCACAUGCCAAACUGUGGUGGACAGUGGAAGAGGUACAACCCUUUCAAGGACAAAGUGGCUGGAAGCAUGCAGAAAAUGUUUUCCUACUGUCCAUCCACUAGGAAGUCCACUACCCCUGGCUUCGACAAUGUGGUGUAUGACAACUUUGAACUCUUUAAGAGUGUCGUGGAUGCAGAGUUGGAAAGGAGGACUGUGUGUGUGUGUGUGUGUGUGUGUGUGUGUGUGUGUGUGUGUGUGUGUGUGUGUGUGUGUGUGUGUGUGUGUGUGUGUGUG